GUCCAUUCGAGGAGAUUCGAUAAAAUUGAAACGAUACGGAUAAGAUUAGCAUGGCCCUGCAUAAAGAUGACACACAAAUCGAGAAAUGGUCCAUAACAAU
rnacentral:snRNA from 2 species